rnacentral:rRNA from 1 species
GGCUCAGAUUGAACGCUGGCGGCAUGCCUUACACAUGCAAGUCGAACGGCAGCACGGGGCAACCUGGUGGCGAGUGGCGAACGGGUGAGUAAUGCAUCGGAACGUGCCAUUGAGUGGGGAUAACGUAGCGAAAGUUGCGCUAAUACCGCAUAUUCUGUGAGCAGGAAAGCAGGGGACCGCAAGGCCUUGCGCUCUUUGAGCGGCCGAUGUCAGAUUAGCUAGUUGGUGAGGUAACGGCUUACCAAGGCGACGAUCUGUAGCGGGUCUGAGAGGAUGAUCCGCCACACUGGAACUGAGACACGGUCCAGACUCCUACGGGAGGCAGCAGUGGGGAAUUUUGGGCAAUGGGCGCAAGCCUGAUCCAGCCAUGCCGCGUGAGUGAAGAAGGCCUUCGGGUUGUAAAGCUCUUUCGGCCGGGAAGAAAUCGCAUGGGUUAAUACCCUGUGUGGAUGACGGUACCGGAAUAAGAAGCACCGGCUAACUACGUG